rnacentral:rRNA from 1 species
UACGAAGGGUGCAAGCGUUACUCGGAAUUACUGGGCGUAAAGCGUGCGUAGGUGGUUCGUUAAGUCUGUCGUGAAAGCCCCCGGCUCAACUGGGGAGGGUCACGCGAUACUGAUCGACUCGAAGGCAGGAGAGGGUAGUGGAAUUCCUGGUGUAGCGGUGAAAUGCGCAGAUAUCAGGAGGAACACCGGUGGCGAAGGCGGGUCUCUGGGCCGAUAUUGACGCUGAGGAGCGAAAGCGUGGGGAGCGAACAGG